AUUGAACGCUGGCGGCCGGCCUAACACAUGCAAGUCGAACGAGUGGCGGACGGGUGAGUACUGUGUGGGAAACUGCCUGAUGGAGGGGGAUAAAUACUGUAAACGGUAGCUAAUACCGCAUACUAUCAGAUGUGCACAGAUGGGAGUAGCUAGUAGGUGGGGUAACGGGUCACCAAGGCGACGACCCCUAGCUGGUUUGAGAGGAUGACCGGCCACUCUGGAGCUGAGACACGGUCCAGACUCCGACGGGAGUCAGCAGUGGGGAAUAUUGAGCAAUUGGCGCAAGCCUGAUGCAGGCAUGCCGCGUGUAUGAAGAAGGCCAUCGGGUUGUAAAGUACUUUCAGCGGGGAGGCGUUACCCGCAGAAUAAGCACCGGCUAACUCCGUGCCAGCAGCCGCGGUAAUAC
rnacentral:rRNA from 1 species